AGCCUGCCCGGUGAAUAUUUUUAACGGCCGCGGUACCCUGACCGUGCAAAGGUAGCAUAAUAAUUUGCCCUAUAAUUGAGGGCUGGAAUGAAUGGUUUGACAAGAAUAGGACUGUCUUUUUAUGAUUUAUUAGAAUUUAAUCUUUAGGUGAAGAAGCCUAAAUUUUAUUAAAAGACAAGAAGACCCUAUCGAGCUUUAGAAAAAUUAAUAAGUCCUAAAGUAAUAUUUUAAUAAAAGUUUAUUUAUUGAAAUAUUUUAGUUGGGGCGACUAAGGAACAUAAAAAGCUUCCUUUAAUGUAUAAUAUCUAUUUUACUAAUUUUGAUCCAAAAUUUUUGAUUAAAGAAAUUAGUUACCGUAGGGAUAACAGCAUUAUCUUUUUUAAGAGUUCUUAUCGAAAAAAAGGUUUGUGACCUCGAUGUUGGACCAGAAUAUCCUAAAGAUGCAGAAGUCUUUUAGGGUUGGUCUGUUCGACCAUUAAAAUUCUACGUGAUCUGAGUUCAGACCGGCGUGAGCCAGGUCAGUUUCUAUCUUUAAUUACUUAACAUUAAGCUUAGUACGAAAGGACCAGCUUAUAUAUAUAUAUAUAUUUGAAGUGAAAAGAUAUAAUGGAAAAGUGAAAUCAGAUUAGCAAAGAAUGCGGUUGAUUUAGAAUCAAUAGA
rnacentral:rRNA from 1 species